rnacentral:rRNA from 1 species
CCUACGGGAGGCAGCAGUGGGGAAUAUUGCACAAUGGGCGCAAGCCUGAUGCAGCCAUGCCGCGUGUGUGAAGAAGGCCUUCGGGUUGUAAAGCACUUUCAGCGGGGAGGAAGGCGGUGCGGUUAAUAACCUCAUCGAUUGACGUUACCCGCAGAAGAAGCACCGGCUAACUACGUGCCAGCAGCCGCGGUAAUACGGAGGGUGCAAGCGUUAAUCGGAAUUACUGGGCGUAAAGCGCACGCAGGCGGUCUGUCAAGUCGGAUGUGAAAUCCCCGGGCUCAACCUGGAAACUGCAUUCGAAACUGGCAGGCUAGAGUCUUGUAGAGGGGGGUAGAAUUCCAGGUGUAGCGGUGAAAUGCGUAGAGAUCUGGAGGAAUACCGGUGGCGAAGGCGGCCCCCUGGACAAAGACUGACGCUCAGGUGCGAAAGCGUGGGGAGCAAACAGGAUUAGAUACCCGUGUAGUC